GAUUGAGAUGAUGAUGGAAAUUGUUUUCCCUAUUGGUUUGAUUGCCGAUAUGAUGGCAACAAUGUAUUAGCUCUAUCUGAUCAAUUUCAUUUUUAUCCUUUUAAUAUAUUUCUAGAUUAUUUUGUUUGAAUUGAAUUUUGAAUAUUUUGUUUAAGAGGCGAAUGGUGUGAUGAUUAAUAGAUUCCCUAUUGGUUUGAUUUGCCAGAAUGAUGGCCAAAUUAGUAUUAGCUCUGUCUGAUCAUUC
rnacentral:lncRNA from 1 species